AAAAGAAAAAGGCAAACUUAUCGAAAGGUAAGGACGCAAAGCUAUGGGUCUAAGGAGUAUAAUUUCUAUGAUCGCCAAGUUGCCGGG
rnacentral:ncRNA from 1 species